rnacentral:tRNA from 1 species
GCCGAAGUGGCGGAACGGCAGACGCGCUACGUUCAGGGCGUAGUGCCCCUUGCGGGCGUGGGAGUUCAAAUCUCCCCUUCGGCACCA